GGGCCGGCCGCUGGCAACAUCGGUCCAAUCCUUAAAGUCAUCCUCAGUUCGGACUGGGGUCUGCAACCCGACCCCACGAAGCUGGAUUCGCUAGUAAUCGCGCAUCAGCCAUGGCGCGGUGAAUACGUUCCCGGGCCUUGUACACACCGCCCGUCAAGCCAUGAAAGCCGGGGGCGCCUGAAGUCCGUGACCGCGAGGGUCGGCCUAGGGUGAAACCGGUGAUUGGGGCUAAGUCGUAACAAGGUACC
rnacentral:rRNA from 1 species